UUAGUGGCGGACGGGUGAGUAACGCGUGGGUAACCUGCCUUGUACAGGGGGAUAACAACCGGAAACGGUUGCUAAUACCGCAUAAGCGCACAGUGCUGCAUGGCACAGUGUGAAAAGAUUUAUCGGUACAAGAUGGACCCGCGUCUGAUUAGCUAGUUGGUGAGGUAAUGGCUCACCAAGGCAACGAUCAGUAGCCGGCUUGAGAGAGUGAACGGCCACAUUGGGACUGAGACACGGCCCAAACUCCUACGGGAGGCAGCAGUGGGGAAUAUUGCACAAUGGGGGAAACCCUGAUGCAGCGACGCCGCGUGAGUGAAGAAGUAUUUCGGUAUGUAAAGCUCUAUCAGCAGGGACGAUAAUGACGGUACCUGACUAAGAAGCCCCGGCUAACUACGUGCCAGCAGCCGCGGUAAUACGUAGGGGGCAAGCGUUAUCCGGAUUUACUGGGUGUAAAGGGAGCGUAGACGGCUAGAUAAGUCAGAUGUGAAAACCCAAGGCUCAACCUUGGGACUCAUUUGAAACUAUCUAGCUAGAGUGCAGGAGAGGUAAGUGGAAUUCCUAGUGUAGCGGUGAAAUGCGUAGAUAUUAGGAGGAACACCAGUGGCGAAGGCGGCUUACUGGACUGUAACUGACGUUGAGGCUCGAAAGCGUGGGGAGCAAACAGGAUUAGAUACCCUGGUAGUCCACGCUGUAAACGAUGAAUACUAGGUGUCGGGGACCUUCCGGUCUUCGGUGCCGCCGCUAACGCAUUAAGUAUUCCACCUGGGGAGUACGUUCGCAAGAAUGAAACUCAAAGGAAUUGACGG
rnacentral:rRNA from 1 species